CAGUCGCCACGGUAAUACAGAGGGUGCAAGCGUUAAUCGGAAUUACUGGGCGUAAAGCGCGCGUAGGUGGUUUGUUAAGUUGGAUGUGAAAUCCCCGGGCUCAACCUGGGAACUGCAUCCAAAACUGGCAAGCUAGAGUAUGGUAGAGGGUGGUGGAAUUUCCUGUGUAGCGGUGAAAUGCAUAGAUAUAGGAAGGAACACCAGUGGCGAAGGCGACCACCUGGACUGAUACUGACACUGAGGUGCGAAAGCGUGGGGAGCAAACAGGAUUAGAUACCCGUGUAGUCCCUGUCUCUUAUAC
rnacentral:rRNA from 1 species